AGCGUUAUCCGGAUUUACUGGGCGUAAAGCGUCUGUAGCUGGAAAAAUAAGUCUGUUUUCAAAUACUGUGGCUCAACCAUAGAAAGGGAAUGGAUACUGUCUUUCUAGAGGUUAUUAGAGGUUAGUGGAAUUUCCGGUGGANCGGUGAAAUGUGUUGAUAUCGGAAGGAACGCCAAAAGCGAAAGCAGCUAACUAUAAUAAACCUGACGGUCAGAGACGAAAGCUUGGGUAGCAAACGGGAUUAGAUACCCCGGUAGUCCAAGCCGUAAAUUAUGCUUGCUAGAUGUUUUCUCCAUUUUGGAGGGAGUGUCGUAAUCUAACGAGUUAAGCAAGCCGCCUGGGUAGUAUAUACGCAAGUAUGAAACUCAAAGGGAUAGGCGGGGGAACACACAAGCAGUGGAUUGUCUAGAUUAAUUGGAUAAUAAGCCAAAAAUCUCACCUAAACUUGACAUGUACUGUGUCCUAUGUGAAAGCAUAGUAGUCCGAGCAAUCGGACACGGUAUACAGGUGGUGCAUGGUCGUCGUCAGCUCGUGCCGCAAGGUGUCUAGUUAAGUCUAGGAACGAGCGCAACCCUCAUCUCUAGUUAGAAUGUCUAGAGAGACUGCUCGGGCAACCGAGAGGAAGGAGAGGAUGACGUCAGAUCCUCAUGCCCCUUACGUUUAGGGCUUCAUAGGCAAUACAAUGGGUGAUACAACGAGAAGCAAUACCGCGAGGUGGAGCAAAUCUUUAAAAUUAUCCUUAGUUCGGAUUGUAGUCUGGAACUCGACUGCAUGAAGUUGGAAUUGCUAGUAAUGGCGGGUCAGCUAUACCGCCGUGAAUAUGUCCCUGUUCCUUGCACUCACCGCCCGUCAAACCAUGGGAGUUG
rnacentral:rRNA from 1 species